CUAAUAAAUUUUCAAAAAGACCAUCCAAUAACUAAGUUCCAAAUAUACAAUUAUAAUACUCAAACUUACUUUUUACAGGAACAAGUGCAACCUCACUGAAUCCCAACUACAGAAUGAGAGGCAAUAUAAGGACAUCCCUUUAUAGCUCCCUUGAUAUUACAUCACUUCCUGCUGGCUGAUUAAUUAAUUUAUUAUUAGUUAGUGAUGUGUUAGGACCUCAUAGUACUAUUUGAAAUUUUCCUAAGUUCUCUGUUUGGUGACAUGUAUAAACAGAGGUAGACUAUAAGGUUCCACCAUUCUUGAUUGAAAAUAGGGAACGUAACAUCAUCUAAUUUCAACCAAAUUUAUAUAUAUUUUUUUGAAGUCUAUCUAGAUAUUAUAUUUAUCGAAUUGAAUAUGUGAUUGGAUGUAAUCAUUGGAUAUUCUAAACCUUUCUAAUCAAUGGUAAUCACUCCUACUAUAAGAACUGAUUCCAAACCCCUGAUGAAGUCCUAACGGACGAAACGCGUUGGGUUUUGCAACGUCUGGUUAACAAAGUCCUUAUCACAAACAUCUGGUUGGAGAUACAUCCAUUUCGAGUUCUGACUGUGAUCACCUGGCUGUAAAAUCCUCACAUCCAACUGUAAUUUAUGUAUAAGAUUGUAAUAUUGUUUUAUAUGAAUUUUUAGAAGGUUGUGUCAAUAACGAACGCUUAGGAUAAAUAUCGUUUGUUUCUGUACAAUAAAAACUUUUAAUUAUUGUCAUACAA